rnacentral:pre_miRNA from 1 species
GGAAACUGAGGGUGGAAGAAAGAGGGCGGCAGCCGGGCUGGGCAGGAGGAAGAAAGAAACAACCCCAUCCACCGCCCGCUCCUUCUUACUCCCUUCCC